GAGAGACACACCCAGCGGCAGCCGUUGACUCCCUCCACCCUUGCUUCCCUCUCAACCAUCUCACCUCCAUCUGUCCAGUGGAGCCAGAUGUCCCACCUUCUUGGGAGAAAUUAAUUGAGGCUCAUUUCCAGGACAGAGGGGCAAGCUGGGUCUGAGGAGCCAAGCAGAAAAACUUCCCAAAAUCACUGGGUGGGGAGGGGUCAGAGACUUACUGCUGCCCCAGCUGUUCUGACUCUGCCCCCAGCUUUUGGCCCCACCCUUUUAAAGCACCUUCAGAGGUUCCCAAUGGUGACAGUAAACAAGUCUCCACUGUCCUGGCCAUCUCUGCUGUGUUCACCCUACUCCUGAUCUUUCUGGCUGCUCAGGGACUGACAGCCAAGAUGUGAGGCUGUGAUGAGCAGGAACAGGGAGGCCUGGAGCCCCCAGACAGAUUUGCAAUGAUCAAGAGGCGUCCUGUGAAUGCAGUUUGCAAAGGACUUAGGCACACAGCAUCUCCUUUGUUCUCACCACAAGGCUGCCGGGUGUGCAGAUGUGAGGAUUAUUUCAAUGGUGAAGAAGCAUCCUGAGAGGUUACGUAGUUCAACUAAUGUCACACCAAGAGGAGAGCAUCUGGGCAUUUGGACAUGGAAGGUGUGGGGCACAAGCAUCUCAUGGCCAGGGAACGGGGGAGGAGCAUCUCAGAGCUGCAUCAGAGUUCAUGCUGGUCCUAGGACAAGAGUCAAGCACACCCUGCUUUCACCAGCUGCUGGUAGCUUUCACUCAGGUUCCCACUUUGGCCACUUAAUUCUCUGAACCUCUACUACAUGAAGAGACUAGAACUUGAUUAGAAAAAAAUGGAAUGACUCUUAAUGAGCAAGUGGAUGAAUAAAUUGUGGUAAAUCCCUACAAGUGACUAUUAGAAA
rnacentral:lncRNA from 1 species